rnacentral:lncRNA from 10 species
GAACUUUUAAACUGCAGAGGAUUUAAGGAGUUAAGCACAAAAUGUCUCUGAGGAAGCCUUCCCUGAGUAUGAAUGGGUCUGGGUGUGGGUGUGUGAAUCAACCCUAACAAACUGAAAACAAUACCGGGUGAUUUCUAAAAAUUAGCAACUCUUUUCAGGCAUCACUGAAUAACCUCACAAAUGAUUUGCACUACUGCUAACAACACCUGCAUCUAGCUAAUCAGCUGACCAUGAGAUGCAGAGAUUAUCUGGAAUUAUCCAGAUUGGUCCAUUUAAUUACAUGAGUCCUUAAAAGUGGAAAGUGGAAGAAGAGGCAGAAGAGUGUGUCAGAGAGAUGCUGUGUGAAAAGGACUCAACCUGCCACUUGAGGCUUUGAGGCUGGAGAAAGGGGCCAUGAACCAAGGAUUGUGAGCAGCCUGUAAAAUCUGGAAAAGACAAGGCAAUACCCUUUGCUGUCUCAGGGUCAAACAUGCAACUCCUGCCUGCUUGUAUGGCCAGCUGGGUUCAAGAAGGAAGGAACCUCAUUGUUGACAGUUACCAGAUGAAUGUGCCCCUUCUGUACAGCUAAGAAAUGGAAUAGACAUUGGUAACCUUCCACAGGCCCACACAUGUGUUAUCAGCCAUACCUUAGGACAGAAGGAAUGAGUUUGCAGAAAGGAUGCUCUUCAGAACUCAUGAAGACAUAAGGUGCUUCAAAAGAGGAGACUUUCGGAACAUGAGCAGGGAAAUUGUCACUUGAUAGAUGACAAGCAUUGUGAGAAACAACAGUUUGCCUUUCUUCAUUCCCUUCCUGGUUAUCUUUCCUGUCACAUGAAGAAGAAAUGAAACACCAGAGAGAAUCAGGUUAUCAUCAUCUACACCAGCCACUGUCACUGGCCUUCAAAGUUCAACCUCCCUGGAACUCCAGAACUCCCCACUUUAUAAGAUGAAUGGCUAAUUGGAUCCUAGUACAUAAGGAAACACUGGCAAAAUAGCGCCCUACAACCAUACUGAGAAUUUAGCCCUGGGGACAUCUUCCGAUAUAAUCUGGCAUAGAAGAGUGGUUAUCACACCUUUAGCAUGGAUAGAAAUGCAAAACAAUAUUUGUAAUAGUCUGUGCUCACGCUGCUAUAAGGACAUACCCAAGACUAGGUAAGUUAUCAAGAAAAAGAGGUUUAAUUGACUCACAGUUCCAUGGCUGGGGAGGCCUCACAAUCAUGGUGGAAGAUGAAGGAGGAGCAAAGUCACAUCUUACAUGGCGGCAGGCAAGAGACUGCCUUUUAUAAAACCAUCAGAUCCUGUGAGACUUAUUCACUAUCACAAGAACAGCCCAGGAAAAACCCAUCCCCAUGAUUCAGCUACCUCCCACAGGGUUCCUUCCAUGACACAUGAAGAUUGUGGGAGCUAAGAUUCAAGAUGAGAUUUGGGUGGGGACACAGCCAAAACAUAUCAAAAUUUAACUGCUAUUUCUCCUUAUGUAGUUGAGAAUCUGAAUAAUAUUAUAUGAGAUAGAAUGAUAGAGUUUCUUUUGCAAAUGUCGAAGUCAUGCUUGUAAAAAGUAUCAUACAUAACCUUAUAUUGAGGCUUGUCUAGAGAUGCAAAUGACAAAGAUGAUCUCUGGUUAACAGUUCUACCUUGGAUCAACUUAUGCUUCAUCAAUUUACCUUCUACAUACUGUUCUUAAAUUCGCAAUAUAAAGUUUCUACAGAGUUUGAUUAAAA